AACGAACGCUGGCGGCAGGCCUAACACAUGCAAGUCGAGCGCACCUUCGGGUGAGCGGCGGACGGGUUAGUAACGCGUGGGAAUAUGCCCUUCACUACGGAAUAGCCUCGGGAAACUGAGAGUAAUACCGUAUACGCCCUUCGGGGGAAAGAUUUAUCGGUGAAGGAUUAGCCCGCGUCUGAUUAGAUAGUUGGUGGGGUAACGGCCUACCAAGUCUACGAUCAGUAGCUGGUUUGAGAGGAUGAUCAGCAACACUGGGACUGGGACACGGCCCAGACUCCUACGGGAGGCAGCAGUGGGGAAUCUUAGACAAUGGGCGCAAGCCUGAUCUAGCCAUGCCGCGUGAGUGACGAAGGCCUUAGGGUCGUAAAGCUCUCUCGCCAGAGAUGAUAAUGACAGUAUCUGGUAAAGAAACCCCGGCUAACUCCGUGCCAGCAGCCGCGGUAAUACGGAGGGGGUUAGCGUUGUUCGGAAUUACUGGGCGUAAAGCGUACGUAGGCGGAUUGGAAAGUUGGGGGUGAAAUCCCGGGGCUCAACCCCGGAACUGCCUCCAAAACUAUCAGUCUAGAGUUCGAGAGAGGUGAGUGGAAUUCCAAGUGUAGAGGUGAAAUUCGUAGAUAUUUGGAGGAACACCAGUGGCGAAGGCGGCUCACUGGCUCGAUACUGACGCUGAGGUACGAAAGUGUGGGGAGCAAACAGGAUUAGAUACCCUGGUAGUCCACACCGUAAACGAUGAAUGCCAGACGUCGGGGGGCUUGCCCUUCGGUGUCACACCUAACGGAUUAAGCAUUCCGCCUGGNGAGUACGGUCGCAAGAUUA
rnacentral:rRNA from 1 species